UUCCGUACGAUCACCGAAGUUAAGCAACGUCGAGUCUACUCUGUACUUAGAUGGGUGAUCUCUUGGGAAUACCAGGUGCUGUAA